UACGGAGGGUGCGAGCGUUGUCCGGAAUCACUGGGCGUAAAGGGCGCGUAGGUGGCUCGUGAAGCGUGCGGUGAAAGUCCGAGGCUCAACCUCGGAUCGGCCGUGCGGACUCGCGGGCUCGAGCGUUGUAGAGGCGGGUGGAAUUCCGGGUGUAGCGGUGGAAUGCGUAGAUAUCAAGAGGAACACCUGAGGUGAAGACGGGUUGCUGGGCUGACACUGACGCUGAGGCGCGAAAGCUAGGGGAGCAAACGGG
rnacentral:rRNA from 1 species